AGAGUUUGAUUUUGGCUCAGGAUGAACGCUAGCGGCAGGCCUAAUAUAUGUAAGUCGAGGGGUAAUAGUUAGAAAGCUUGCUUUCUAAGUUGAUGAUUGGUGUACGGGUGAGUAAUGUGUAUGCAAUCUACCUUUAACAGGGGGAUAGCCCCGAGAAAUCGGGAUUAAUACCCCGUAACAAUUAAAAACUGUAUGGUUUUUAAUUUAAAGUUCCGGCGGUUAAAGAUGGGCAUGCGUGGCAUUAGUUAGUUGGUGAGGUAAUGGCUCACCAAGGUAACGAUGCCUAGGGGUUUUGAGAGGAUUUUUCCCCACACUGGCACUGAGAUAUGGGCCAGACUCCUACGGGAGGUAGCAGUGAGGAAUAUUGGUUAAUGGCCGAGAGGCUGAACCAGCCAUGCCGCGUGCAGGAUGAUUGUUUUAUGAAUUGUAAACUGCUUUUCUACAGGAAGAAACCUACUUAUGUGUAAGUAGCUGCCGGUACUGUAGGAAUAAGCACCGGCUAACUCCGUGUUAGUAGUUGUGGUAAUACGGAGGGUGCAAGCGUUAUCCGGAUUUAUUGGGUUUAAAGGGUGCGUAGGCGGGUUAUUAAGUCAGUGGUGAAAUCCUUCGGCUUAACCGAAGAAUUGCCAUUGAAACUGAUAGCCUUGAAUGCAGUUGAGGCAGGCGGAAUGUAUAAUGUAGUGGUGAAAUGUUUAGAUAUUAUACAGAAUAUUGAUUGUGAAGGUAGCUUGCUAAACUGUGAUUGACGCUGAUGCACGAAAGCGUGGGUAGUGAAUAGGAUUAGAUAUCCUGGUAGUCCACGCUGUAAAUGAUGAUCACUGGUUGUUUGUGAUAUAUUGUAAGUGAUUGAGUGAAAGUAUUAAGUGAUUUACUUGGGGAGUACGUCGGUAACGAUGAAUCUCAAAGGAAUUGACGGGGGCCCGCACAAGCGGAGGAAUAUGUGGUUUAAUUUGAUGAUAUGUGAGGAACCUUAUUUGGGUUUAAAUGUAAGUUGCAUAGGGGGGAAACUUCCUUUUCCUAUGGGACUACUUACAAGGUGCUGCAUGGUUGUCGUCAGCUCGUGCCGUGAGGUGUCGGGUUAAGUCCCAUAACGAGCGCAACCCCUAUCGUUAGUUGCCAUCAGGUAAAGCUGGGGACUCUAACGAGACUGCCGGUGUAAACCGUGAGGAAGGUGGGGAUGACGUCAAAUCAGCAUGGCCCUUAUAUUUAGGGUUAUACACGUGUUACAAUGGCCAGUACAAAGGGCAGUUAUUUGGUGAUAAGGUGUUAAUUCCCAAAACUGGCCACAGUUUGGAUCGAAGUCUGUAAUUUGACUUCGUGAAGUUGGAUUCGCUAGUAAUCGCGCAUUAGCCACGGCGCGGUGAAUACGUUCCCGGGCCUUGUAUAUAUUGCCCGUCAAGCCAUGGGAGCCGGGGGUACCUGAAGUCUGUAAUU
rnacentral:rRNA from 1 species